UCUACGGACCAAAGAGGGGGACCUUCGGGCCUCUUGCCAUCGGAUGUGCCCAGAUGGGAUUAGCUAGUAGGUGGGGUAACGGCUCACCUAGGCGACGAUCCCUAGCUGGUCUGAGAGGAUGACCAGCCACACUGGGACUGAGACACGGUCCAGACUCCUACGGGAGGUAGCAGUGGGGAAUAUUGCACAAUGGGCGCAAGCCUGAUGCAGCCAUGCCGCGUGUGUGAAGAAGGCCUUCGGGUUGUAAAGCACUUUCAGCGAGGAGGAAGGCCAAUAGCUUAAUACGNUGUUGGAUUGACGUUACUCGCAGGAGAAGCACCGGCUAACUCCGUGCCAGCAGCCGCGGUAAUACGGAGGGUGCAAGCGUUAAUCGGAAUUACUGGGCGUAAAGCGCACGCAGGCGGUUUGUUAAGUCAGAUGUGAAAUCCCCGCGCUUAACGUGGGAACUGCAUUUGAAACUGGCAAGCUAGAGUCUCGUAGAGGGGGGUAGAAUUCCAGGUGUAGCGGUGAAAUGCGUAGAGAUCUGGAGGAAUACCGGUGGCGAAGGCGGCCCCCUGGACGAAGACUGACGCUCAGGUGCGAAAGCGUGGGGAGCGAACAGGAUUAGAUACCCUGGUAGUCCACGCUGUAAACGAUGUCGAUU
rnacentral:rRNA from 1 species